rnacentral:lncRNA from 1 species
UGACCACAGUCUGCUAUCACCGUCUUGGUUUUGUAUUUUUGAAGUCAAAAGGUUCAAGAUUUCAACCAAGAUUCUACCCCCAAAUCUUACACAUCAGUCGAGAUUCACAGCUUAGAAAAACAGAUAAAUCGUUGUCGACGGACAUUGUAGAAUCCAACGGUAACAACUCAGCAGAAGCCUCUGAUCGGUCAAUUUCUACCCAUUCUUUCAUGGAAUCCAAUAUGGUAAAGUAAAUGUCGUACUCACCCUCUUCUCCUUCCUCUUUCGCCCUUGACCUCGUUGUAUUUCUGAACCUAAUUUGAGUAGGUAUGCUGCUGAUAAUUUCCCCUCAUGUCUUGGUGAUGACUUUCAAUCGAAGGGGGUGGAGCUCCAGGCAAGUUACCCUUAUAUAAACAUGUUUUUUGAAUGGAUUGUUUUUGCUCUUAUAAUAAUAGUAAAGUACCAUUAGUAUCAUGAUUGAGAAAUCUCGCAUGCUGUUAGUUAUUUUAUCUUUUACAGCCAUACCCUACUUUACAUGUACAGUGACUAUGCUAAAGUUCCAAGAACCGGAAUAAUCCCUAAAUUGCUUGUUCCAUGAAGCUUGAUGUACCAUGCCCUAAUAAUUCAUCCAAGUGUUUGCUAACUAGUAACUUCCAUGCCUAUGUUUCAUAAGCUUUUCAUUUUUCUUUGAUUGAGCAAACAGUCUGGGGACACUCUUUGAGGCAUAUAAACUUGGUAAAGAUGCUCACAAGCAGCACCCACCUGCCCAAACAUCUUGCCUAUUUUGUAUUUACAAAAGUGUAGAUGAAGGUUUUAGAUUUUUAUGCGUAAUUGUUCUCGAAUGUAAUUUGGUUCAAGUCCUACUACAAACUGUGCGUAAUUAGUAUUAGUUUGAAUUUUGGGAAACCUUAAUUACUACCAAGUUGUAUGUUUAUUGGAAUGAAUUUGGUUAUGCAUUUACAGAAAAGGUUAACAAAACUUCAUUGCAUUUAGAACUGGAAUAUGAAUUUUUGUAGUUUAAGCCUGAUGGUUCAUAAAGUAAAGUACUUUUGCAGAGUCUAGAGUUGUAUCAAGUAAUACAACGGUUAUGAAUUAGGUGACUACCAUUGCAGUUACCACAUGAUCAUUUGACAAAUAUUGUCUGUCUAAUACUUUUUUUCUAUAACUUUAAUAGCGACCUCAAAUCUUGCAUACACUUUCUAUUGGCAGCAUGCUGAGUUUGGUUUUGCUUCUUUAAGUAAACCAGUUGCAGGUCUGACAACUGCUUGUUUCAUCAUCCUUUCUUUUCAUUGGUCACAUUAGUUUACAUUUUAGGCCCCUAGACAUUAUUUCUCCAUUGUAGGUAUAAUGUAGUAUGUCAAUGUCAAUAUGUCAUCUCAUACUUAGUUGGGUGAAUUCGCAUCACUAUAAAGUUAAUCUUGGGUGGGUUAUCCUUGGGGUACCACAUAUGUGUGAGACUAGCAUCAAAGAAAAUUCAUACUUGUUUUAUGUUUUUACCAUGAUACUAACAACAUUGAUCUUAUUCAAUUCUACUUGAAAAUGCAGAGUCAAAAUCAUUAUUCACAUAUAAUGGGUGUCUGUUGUACUUUUAGCAUUCGGGAUUGGUGGGUGUUGGUGGAGGUUUUAGUACGAGCAUGUGUGGGAUAGCCAUGCUUAUCAUCAGGUAAGUUUGUCUGCAACCGUUGUUUAACUUUUCUAAUUCUUUCUUCCUUGCCUUUUGAAGAAAGUAUGAAACACAAAAAUAAUCAGAAAGUAUUGAUUAGAAACUGACAUGAGUUAGUAAAUGUUUCUCAGACUAAGUAAAAGAAUCCAAUAUAUUUCAUACGUUUAAAUUGAACGAUCUCUAUGUCUUGGAAUUAUAUUACAACAAAUACUUGUAAUUUAAUUCAACAACUGGUUACAAAAAAAGCUUAUGAGUGAUUCGGAGGUGUCCUAUUUGAUGCAGAGUUUCCCUUUGGUUAUUUGUUUGUUGCAUAAUUUCAUGUUUUUUUUUUUUUUUUUUUUUGAAAGAGCUGCAUAAUUUCAUGUUGUUUGGAGAAUGGAAUGAUAAUUAUUCUGGCGGUCAUGGUGUUUACCGGCGACCGGGUUAUUAUUUUUCAGGCGGUCAAUGUGUUUUCCGGUGACAGGAGGAUGAUAAAGAAAGGGAUAAUGGGGGUGGCGUAGGGUCCAUUAGUAAUAUAUAAAAUAAUAUAGAAAAAUUAAUAAAUAUUAAAAAUAUCAUUAAGGGUAUUAUAGUCAUUUUACUUUGAUUAGGGACCAAAUCGAAACAAAAUCAAACCACAGGGACGGUCCGAGUUAGAAAAAAAGAGUUAGGGACCAUUCGUGUAAUUUUUCCUAAUUUAUAUGUUCAUUUAUGUUUCUUGACAAAAUAAUGUCACAUAUUCUGAAAAUAAGUUACAUAUAUUCGUAGUUUCUUUAAAAAGUCAACCUUACCAACCAAUAAAAAGAAAAGAUAAAAAGAAUUCAAUGUCUAAACUUCAAAAAUAUAAAAGAUAGAAAAACACAACCAUUUAUCUAGCGGCAUUAAGAAAACCCUUACAUUUUCUUUAUUUGCAGAACAACCCUUAUAUUUUCAGUUAUCUUUCGGAUUUACCUAAAUAUCUGUUUUUUAAAUAAGUUACCGGUUGUUUUGUGUCAUGAUAUUUAUGUUGUUCGUUUUUAGGUUGACAUGGGAAAAAAAUAAGUGAUGUCACUUAUUUUUGCUUGAGUAAACAGUCGUUGAGUAAAUGAUCUAUUUCUAAUGUUUUACCUUAGACAAGAGGCAAUGCCACUUAUUUUUUGUUUCCAUGUCAACCUAAAACGAAAAAGAUAAAUGUCAUGUCACAAAACAACCAUUAAUUUCUUAAAAAAACGGAUAUUUUGGUUAAUGUGAAAGAUAACUGAAAAUAUAAGAGUUUUUAUGCAUACAAACAAAAUGUAAGGGGUUUUUUGAAUGUUAGUAGAUAAAUGGUUGUCUUUUUAUGUAUUUUGCCCUAUUUGAAAAGUCGAGAAAAAAAGUCUAAUUUCUAAACUUAAAAGUAUGAUAUAUUAUAAGGAUCCAGAUACCAAACCCCCAUUUGGGUUUAGCCCAACAAGCCCCAUGUUUGGAAAGUUUAUGAGAGGAGGCCCAAGCCAUGUGUAGGGCAGUAGUGGAAAUAAGUUUGUUAGGAUAUACUGUCAGUAUACAACUAAGCUGAUAGCUGUUUAUUUUCUAAAAAGCAAAUUAACCAACAAAAAGACAAGAUAAAAAUAAUAGCAAAAGUAACCAAUCGGUAAAAAAGAAAGAGAGAAGGAUCCUAUAUCCAAACCUAGAAAACGUGGAAUACAACUCAACUCGUAGUUAUAUAAAUUUUAAUUUGUUAUGAAUCAAUCAAAAUUUGUCUUUGUAGGCAUUGAUGAUAUAAUGAAUCAUUUUUCGGUUUUGUAAAGCAUCCCAAUUCCCAACAAACCCAGAAACUGAUAUGGCAUCUAAAAGACUAAAACAGUUAUAUUUGACCUGUGGUGGAUCUCAUAUUCUCAAACCAACUUUAUUUGAAAUCUAAUCCCAUUAUCUUUUGGCAUGUGAUUACUCUAGAUAAAGUUUAUGUUCAUAAUAUAUUUAUAUUCAUUUAUGUUUCUUUACAAAAUAAUGGCACAUAUUGACAAUAAGUUUCAUAUAUAUGAUUCUUUAAAAAGUCAAUCAACCACUUAUUAAAGAGAAGAUGGGGCGGAGGAAAUAAGUUUGUGUAAAAUUAGACAUAGUCCUUUGUAAAAAAUAUUUAACGACACUAUUUAACACAAGGAUGUGGUGCAUGCAUAAAAGAAUCUUUUGAGGACCAAAUUCAUAGCUUUCACUCUAGUGCAAGGACAAAAUUUGUAAUUUACAGUAACAUAUUUGUAAUGAAUCAACAAUACAGUGUUAUGACGUGGAAAUUCAUUUUUUUGUUACUUUUGUCCUUUUCACGUUUUUGUGAUAUAUUUUGGAUAUCUAUGGAGCAAAAAUACAAUUAUUGUGGUUACUCAUUUUAAGGAGAUAAAUUAAUAAAUCAAAGACAGUUGUGUGGACCCUAUAACUACAAAAAGAUGGAAAAUCAUUAUUUAUAUAUAUUCAUUUUUGUUUUUGUUUGUUUUUUUUUUCUUGACAAAAUAAUGGAAAAUAUUUUAUAAAUAAUUAUAAUAUAUUUGUGUUUUUCUCAAAAAGUUACUCAACCAAUAAAAAGAAAAUAUAAAAAGAUUCCAAUGUUUGAACUUAUGGAAUAAAUAUAGAUUGAUUACUAAAUUUUGUCCCCUUAUGUUUUAAUUAGCGGUAAGUAGGUGAGAAUCAGUUUGUUAAGUUCUAUAUUUAAGUCUGGUGACCUCAUGAUUUAUGUCCCUCAUAUUUGUAGUAUAUAUAGUUGGUGGGGUCAUCCAGGGGAGACAUUUGUCUUUUCUUCUUUAAAAUGCAAAUAUAAAGAUGUCUAAUGACAAGAACAAGUCACCUAACAUUGGUUAAACAAAAUACUUUUUUAUUACAGACUUAAAGAAAUUUUAAAUUUGUAUAUUUCUUUGUAUUUUGUUACAAAGUAAUAUCAUAUAUUCAAUUUUAAAAAAAAAGUAUGAUAUAGUUUUAACAAUAAGGUUCAGUUAUUUCCAUCUCUUGCUUUCUUGUGAAAACUUUCCCUUCCAAAAGUGUCCUCCAUAUUUUCUUCAAAAAACAUGAGUUUAAUAAUGACAACUUCAAUUUGAAAACAACUUGAUUUAUUGAAAAUGUCGAGUGUUUCUUGAGAAUUUAGUAAAUUGAAAAUUUCUUGGAAACUCACAUGUNNNNNNNNNNNNNNNNNNNNNNNNNNNNNNNNNNNNNNNNNNNNNNNNNNNNNNNNNUAUAUAUAUAUAUAUAUAUAUAUAUGGGUCAUUUCAUUGAGUUGCUCAAAUAACAUACAUUCAAUCUCAAACAAAUUAACUUAUGG